AUGUUGUGUUCCCCGCGCCUGCCAUGGCAGCUUGGCACUGAGGCUGUCUUGGCACAGCUGCCCCAGGCAGAGCAGAGAGGGUGGUGGUGGCUGGGGGGGUCCUGCUCGGGACAGUCACCCAGGGUGGCCACUGGGAAGCCCCUCAGGCAGAGGGGGAGGAUGAGGCGCAAUACCCCCCAGAGCGCCAGGACCUGCUGGCAUUGCAGUGGCCAGGGGGCAGCUCUGCAGGUGGGCCGGGGCUGCCUCCCCCUGAGCUGGGGGCGGGGGGUCCCCCCACCGCACAGGCCUGACCCGCGGGUGCAGCCCCUGGCAGGCCCCGGCCUGGGGCGGGGGUUAACCCCUGAACUCCGGAGUGGCACCGAUGCCACUCCUUCUUCCUUCCAGCCCAGGGGGGUGGGGGGCGUGCAAGACGGAAGGGAGAGAAGGAGACCAGGGCGGGCUUCUUUCCCCUUUAAGAGCCUGAUGGCCGCCGCCCAGACCCGGCGGCCGGGGACGGAAAAUGUCGGGAAAUAUUCCCUUCCGAACUUCCCGGGUCUUUGUUCGGGAGGAGGCCGGGGCGGGCGGGCUUCGCUGGGCGGAGGGCCGCGGGCUCGGCCGUGCGCUCAUGGCGGCCACGGCCACGGCCACGGCGGCGGCGGCGGCGGCGCCCCCCCUCCAUCCCCCCCGCCGGCGCCCCCUCCCGGCCCGGCCCCCGGCCCCCAUCCCGGGUCCGCCCGGGCCCAGCGGGCUGCGGGGGGCGCCGAGGGCGAGGGCGGGGGAACGGGCGCCGCUUACCAGGUCAUCCCCGGGUGCCCCCGCGGUCCCGCCGGUGUCAAGUUCACGUCCGGCCCGCAGACUGUCCGAGGUCUGGGCGCAGCCGGGCAGAGCGAGGCCGCGGGAGGCCGCCGGCCCCGGGUCACCGCCGCCGCCGGCCCCGCGGCGCCGCUGUCACUUCGGUCCCGCGACCCCAACUUUCCGCACAGUCGCGGAGCUGGAAGUUUCCGGGCUUCGCGGGCGCUGGGCUGGGUUUCAGCAGCGACGUCUGAGCUUGGCAACAAAGAGGGAAAGCAGGCCUGGAGAGGGAGGAAAGAAAGAAAGACAUGGAGAGCGGCCCGGCUACUUAGAAGUCUCCAGAACUUGAAAUUCCACCCAGAAGCUUUUUUUGGUCGUUUCUUCUUAAGUGCGUCCUGGGGACAUGUCUGGGCUGGAGGAGGCAGCCGAGGGGCCCCAGGCCCAGGAACCUGCACAGUGGCCAAGCCCAGUCCCUCCCAGGGCCAUCUGAGCACUGGACCAGGAGCUGAGAGGCAUGGGGCACCAGCUGUCACUCGACCUUGGGACACCCCCGCCCUGCCCUGUUCAUCCGUUUGUCUGUCCUUCCUGCAAGAGGUGUUUAUGGAGAAAACUGACCCAGGCCUGCUAGUCCAGAGCUCUGUGAAAAGCUAGGAGAAUGGGGCUGUUGGUUUGUGUUUUAAAGAGAAAUGAGCGAGGGUGCCAUGGAGGGCAGGUUGUGGGGGGGGGAAUAUGUUGUCAUUUGUCUCACAGAAGUGGGCAGAGCUUCAAAGUGCUGGAGAGCCUCUCCCUUCAGUGGCUGUUUGUCCGUCCAGUGCUUUCUGCACGGCGAUUCUUUCUAGGGUCAGUCUGGAGGGCCAGGCAGAGUUCGUGGAAGAGGCCACACCCUG
ensembl:lncRNA